rnacentral:rRNA from 1 species
UACAGAGGUCUCAAGCGUUGUUCGGAUUCAUUGGGCGUAAAAGGCUUGUAGGUGGCCACGCCAAGUCGGAUGUGAAAUCUCCCGGCUCAACUGGGAGGGGUCAUUCGAUACUGGCGGGCUCGAGGCCGGUAGGGGGAAGUGGAAUUCCCGGUGUAGUGGUGGAAUGCGUAGAUAUCGGGAGGAACACCAGUGGCGAAGGCGGCUUCCUGGACCGGUUCUGACACUGAGGAGCGAAAGCGUGGGGAGCGAUCCGG